UCAGGCCUAACACAUGCAAGUCGAACGAACCCUUCGGGGUUAGUGGCGCACGUGUGCGUAACGCGUGGGGAUCUGCCCUUUGCUUCGGAAUAACAGUUAGAAAUGACUGCUAAUACCGGAUGAUGUCGAAAGACCAAAGAUUUAUCGGCAAAGGGUGAACCCGCGUAGGAUUAGCUAGUUGGUGGGGUAAAGGCCUACCAAGGCGACGAUCCUUAGCUGGUCUGAGAGGAUGAUCAGCCACACUGGGACUGAGACACGGCCCAGACUCCUACGGGAGGCAGCAGUGGGGAAUAUUGGACAAUGGGCGAAAGCCUGAUCCAGCAAUGCCGCGUGAGAAUGAAGGCCUUAGGGUUGUAAAGCUCUUUUACCAGGGAGAUAAUGAC
rnacentral:rRNA from 1 species